rnacentral:rRNA from 1 species
UACGAAGGGGGCUAGCGUUGCUCGGAAUUACUGGGCGUAAAGGGCGCGUAGGCGGACAGUUUAGUCAGAGGUGAAAGCCCAGGGCUCAACCCUGGAAUUGCCUUUGAUACUGACUGUCUUGAGUACGGGAGAGGUGUGUGGAACUCCGAGUGUAGAGGUGAAAUUCGUAGAUAUUCGGAAGAACACCAGUGGCGAAGGCGACACACUGGCCCGUUACUGACGCUGAGGCGCGAAAGCGUGGGGAGCAAACAGGG